CCUGCCCAAGAGAUCGGGAUAACACCUGGAAACAGAUGCUAAUACCGGAUAACAACAGAUGAUGCCUAUCAACUGUUUAAAAGAUGGUUCUGCUAUCACUNUUGGAUGGACCUGCGGUGCAUUAGCUAGUUGGUAGGGUAACGGCCUACCAAGGCGAUGAUGCAUAGCCGAGUUGAGAGACUGAUCGGCCACAUUGGGACUGAGACACGGCCCAAACUCCUACGGGAGGCAGCAGCU
rnacentral:rRNA from 1 species